rnacentral:lncRNA from 10 species
AUCUAGCUUUGAUGCUAUAGUUCAAUAUAUUAUGCAAAAUUUAAUAAGAUAGCUGAUUUUUUUUUCCUUAGGAAAAGAAAGCUCACAAUUAACAACUGAAAAAAAAAAAAAAAAACCUAAAGGAUAAAAUACCAACUUAGAAAUACAAACCAGAGAUUCCCAACCAUCCAGAAGGUACAAUAUAGCUACAAGCAAAAAGAAAAGGAAAAAAAGAAAAAAGCAAAUUUUCAGGUCCAAGCAUAUUUUUGAAAACCUGUUUCCAUUUCCUUCUAUAUUAACUAAAGUCAGUUUGAGCAACUAUUAAAGGAAGUUAAAAUUCUCUUGUGUUUUGUCUACCUGUGGGAACUAUAACCAGACCUCAGUGGAAACAGGAAAUGUACAAUAAGUCCCCCUUUUAUGACU